AUCUCUGUGUAUGAGGACACACAAGGAGAGCUGCUGGGAAAUAAAAGAAGCUUAAUAUUAUUUAUCCCAUUGCCGGAUCCUCAUAUAUAUUUUUUGGACAUAUGAAAGUAUUGUAGGUAAAUUAAAUAAAAAUUUGGACAAAUUAAUUACAAGCCUUUGGAAGAUUAAUAUUAACCAUCAGAUGGUCGCAAAUAGGAAGAUUCAUUAAAUACUACAAAACAAUGGAAGUUAAUUAUACAUAAUAAUUCUUA